GUGCAGCAGGCGCGAAACCUCCGCAAUACACGAAAGUGUGACGGGCCAUCCCGAGUGCCGUCCGCUGAGGACGGCUUUUCCCCAGUGUACACAGCUGGGGGAAUAAGGAGAGGGCAAGCCUGGUGUCAGCCGCCGCGGUAAUACCAGCUCUCCGAGUGGUGGGACGCUUAUUGGCCUAAAGCAUCCGUAGCCGGCUGGGCAAGUCCUCCGUUAAAUCCAACGAUUCAAUCGUUGGGCUGCGGGGGAUACUGUCCAGCUUGGGGGCGGAGAGGCCGACGGUAUUCCCGGGGUAGGGUGAAAUCCUAUAAUCCCCGGGAGGACCACCAGUGGCCG
rnacentral:rRNA from 1 species